rnacentral:rRNA from 1 species
CUAGCGUACAGGCUUAACACAUGCAAGUCGAGGGGCAGCAUAACGAAAGCUUGCUUUGUUGAUGGCGACCGGCGCACGGGUGAGUAACGCGUAUCCAACCUUCCCCUUAGUAGGGCAUAGCCCGUAGAAAUGCGGAUUAAUACCCUAUGUUCUUCGAAGCGGUCAUCCAAUUUGAAGCAAAGAUUCAUCGCUAAGGGAUGGGGAUGCGUCCGAUUAGGUUGUUGGCGGGGUAACGGCCCACCAAGCCAUCGAUCGGUAGGGGUUCUGAGAGGAAGGUCCCCCACAUUGGAACUGAGACACGGUCCAAACUCCUACGGGAGGCAGCAGUGAGGAAUAUUGGUCAAUGGACGAGAGUCUGAACCAGCCAAAGUAGCGUGCAGGACGACGGCCCUAUGGGUUGUAAACUGCUUUUAUACAGGGAUAAAGUCGGGGACGUGUCCCCGUUUGUAGGUACUGUAUGAAUAAGGACCGGCUAAUUCCGUGCCAGCCGCAGC